rnacentral:rRNA from 1 species
UACGAAGGGGGCUAGCGUUGUUCGGAAUCACUGGGCGUAAAGGGUGCGUAGGCGGCCGAUCAAGUCGGGGGUGAAAGCCUGUGGCUCAACCACAGAAUUGCCUUCGAUACUGUUUGGCUUGAGAACGGAAGAGGUUAGUGGAACUGCGCGUGUAGAGGUGAAAUUCGUAGAUAUUCGCAAGAACACCAGUGGCGAAGGCGGCUGACUGGUCCGGUUCUGACGCUGAGGCGCGAAAGCGUGGGGAGCAAACAGG